rnacentral:rRNA from 1 species
UUCCCGGGUGCUUGCACCCACCGAAGUCAAAGAGUGGCGGACGGGUGAGUAACACGUGGGUAACCUGCCCAUAAGAGGGGGAUAACAUUCGGAAACGGAUGCUAAUACCGCAUACUUCUAAUCGCCUCCUGGCGAAUGGAAAAAAGGUGGCUUCGGCUACCGCUUAUGGAUGGACCCGCGGCGUAUUAGCUAGUUGGUGAGGUAAUGGCUCACCAAGGCGAUGAUACGUAGCCGACCUGAGAGGGUGAUCGGCCACACUGGGGCUGAGACACGGCCCAGACUCCUACGGGAGGCAGCAGUAGGGAAUCUUCCGCAAUGGACGAAAGUCUGACGGAGCAAUGCCGCGUGAGUGAAGAAGGUUUUCGGAUCGUAAAACUCUGUUGUUAGAGAAGAACAAGGAUGAGAGUAACUGCUCAUCCCCUGACGGUAUCUAACCAGAAAGCCACGGCUAACUACGUGCCAGCAGCCGCGGUAAUACGUAGGUGGCAAGCGUUGUCCGGAUUUAUUGGGCGUAAAGCGAGCGCAGGCGGUUCUUUAAGUCUGAUGUGAAAGCCCCCGGCUCAACCGGGGAGGGUCAUUGGAAACUGGAGAACUUGAGUGCAGAAGAGGAGAGUGGAAUUCCACGUGUAGCGGUGAAAUGCGUAGAUAUGUGGAGGAACACCAGUGGCGAAGGCGACUCUCUGGUCUGUAACUGACGCUGAGGCUCGAAAGCGUGGGGAGCAAACAGGAUUAGAUACCCUGGUAGUCCA